rnacentral:rRNA from 1 species
UACGAGGGGGGCAAGCGUUGUUCGGAAUUAUUGGGCGUAAAGGGCGCGUAGGCGGUUUGACAAGUCUGAUGUGAAAUCUAUGGGCUCAACCCAUAGUCUGCAUUGGAAACUGUCGGGCUUGAGUAUGGGAGAGGUGAGUGGAAUUUCCGGUGUAGCGGUGAAAUGCGUAGAUAUCGGAAGGAACACCUGAGGCGAAAGCGGCUCACUGGACCAUAACUGACGCUGAGGCGCGAAAGCUAGGGGAGCAAAC